rnacentral:rRNA from 1 species
UACGGAGGGUGCAAGCGUUAUCCGGAUUCACUGGGUUUAAAGGGUGCGUAGGUGGGCUGGUAAGUCCGUGGUGAAAUCUCCAAGCUUAACUUGGAAACUGCCGUGGAUACUAUUAGUCUUGAAUGUUGUGGAGGUAAGCGGAAUAUGUCAUGUAGCGGUGAAAUGCUUAGAUAUGACAUAGAACACCGAUAGCGAAGGCAGCUUGCUACACAAUUAUUGACACUGAGGCACGAAAGCGUGGGGAGCAAACAGG